rnacentral:rRNA from 1 species
GACGAACGCUGGCGGCGUGCUUAACACAUGCAAGUCGAACGGAAAGGCCCUGCUUUUGUGGGGUGCUCGAGUGGCGAACGGGUGAGUAACACGUGAGUAACCUGCCCUUGACUUUGGGAUAACUUCAGGAAACUGGGGCUAAUACCGGAUAGGAGCUCCUGCUGCACGGUGUGGGUUGGAAAGUUUCGGCGGUUGGGGAUGGACUCGCGGCUUAUCAGCUUGUUGGUGGGGUAGUGGCUUACCAAGGCUUCGACGGGUAGCCGGCCUGAGAGGGUGACCGGCCACAUUGGGACUGAGGUACGGCGCAGACUCCUACGGGAGGCAGCAGGGGGGAAUAUUGCACAAUGGGCGGAAGCCUGAUGCAGAAACGCCGCGUGCGGGAUGACGGCCUUCGGGUUGUAAACCGCUGUCGCCUGUGACGAAGCGUGAGUGACGGUAAUGGGUAAAGAAGCACCGGCUAACUACGUG